AGCCCCGUAGUGUAACAACAUAUUGGAUUGCAAAUCCGGAGAAGCAGGCUAACCCCUGCCGGGGCUU
rnacentral:tRNA from 1 species